rnacentral:rRNA from 1 species
GACGAACGCUGGCGGCGUGCUUAACACAUGCAAGUCGAACGGUGACCCAGGGCUUGCCCUGGUGAUCAGUGGCGAACGGGUGAGUAACACGUGGGGCAACCUGCCCCUGACUUCGGGAUAACUCCUCGAAGAGGAGCUAAUACCGGAUACGACCACCUCGGACAUCCGAUGGUGGUGGAAAGUUCUUCGGUCAGGGAUGGGCCCGCGGCCUAUCAGCUAGUUGGUGGGGUAAUGGCCUACCAAGGCGACGACGGGUAGCCGGCCUGAGAGGGCGACCGGCCACACUGGGACUGAGACACGGCCCAGACUCCUACGGGAGGCAGCAGUGGGGAAUAUUGCGCAAUGGGCGAAAGCCUGACGCAGCGACGCCGCGUGAGGGAUGAAGGCCUUCGGUUGGUAAACCUCUUUCAGCAGGACGAAGCGAAAGUGACGGUACCUGCAGAAGAAGACACCGGCUAACCUACGUAGCCAGCAGCCGCGGUAA